rnacentral:rRNA from 1 species
AACGAACGCUGGCGGCAUGCCUAACACAUGCAAGUCGAACGAGACCUUCGGGUCUAGUGGCGCACGGGUGCGUAACGCGUGGGAAUCUGCCCUGGGGUACGGAAUAACUCAGAGAAAUUUGAGCUAAUACCGUAUGAUGACGUAAGUCCAAAGAUUUAUCGCCCUGGGAUGAGCCCGCGUAGGAUUAGCUUGUUGGUGAGGUAAAGGCUCACCAAGGCGACGAUCCUUAGCUGGUCUGAGAGGAUGAUCAGCCACACUGGGACUGAGACACGGCCCAGACUCCUACGGGAGGCAGCAGUGGGGAAUAUUGGACAAUGGGCGAAAGCCUGAUCCAGCAAUGCCGCGUGAGUGAUGAAGGCCCUAGGGUUGUAAAGCUCUUUUACCCGGGAAGAUAAUGACUGUACCGGGAGAAUAAGCCCCGGCUAACUCCGUGCCAGCAGCCGCAGUAA